UACGGGGGGGGCAAGCGUUGUUCGGAAUUACUGGGCGUAAACGGCUCGUAGGCGGCCAACUAAGUCAGACGUGAAAUCCCUCGGCUUAACCGGGGAACUGCGUCUGAUACUGGAUGGCUUGAGUUUGGGAGAGGGAUGCGGAAUUCCAGGUGUAGCGGUGAAAUGCGUAGAUAUCUGGAGGAACACCGGUGGCGAAGGCGGCAUCCUGGACCAACACUGACGCUGAGGAGCGAAAGCCAGGGGAGCAAACGGG
rnacentral:rRNA from 1 species